UUUCCGUAGGUGAACCUGCGGAAGGAUCAUUACAAAAUGUUAUGGGAUGUCCUAACGGGCACCCAAGCAAACGCAUCCAUAUUUAACUUUUGAGACAAUUACUAGUCUGAUAAGGCCAUAUGCUGUAAAAAUUUAAAUAUAUUAAAACUUUCAACAACGGAUCUCUUGGCUCUC
rnacentral:misc_RNA from 1 species